UACAGAGGGUGCAAGCGUUGUUCGGAAUUAUUGGGCGUAAAGGGCGCGUAGGCGGUGCGGUAAGUCUGUAGUGAAAUCUCCCGGCUCAACUGGGAGGGUGCGCCGAAUACUGAAUGACUUCGAGUGCGGGAGAGGAGAGUGGAAUUCCUGGUGUAGCGGUGAAAUGCGUAGAUAUCAGGAGGAACACCGGUGGUGUAGACGGCUCUCUGGACCGUAACUGACGCUGAGACACGAAAGCGUGGGUAGCAAACAGG
rnacentral:rRNA from 1 species